rnacentral:sRNA from 1 species
GAUCACGAGCUUCAUCUCCUUCAUUUAAACAUUCAAAUCUCAAACCAAACCUACACCACCACCAAAUAUCACUCUUCCUUCUCCAACAAUCUCCCAAAGGCGAAGAAAUGAUCUCGCUAUCGAAUCAAUGGCGGUCGAAGAAUCUUCUUCAACCGCUUUUUCACUUUCCUCUGAGCUUGCUUCCGUGAUUUUCCCCUCGCUUGCUUACUCCAACACACUCUCUUCAGUUCUGGAUACAAUGUGCAAGUGUUUGUUGAAGAUAAUGAGUCAGAGGAGAGGCUUGUGAAUCGAUUUAGGAGAGAAGUGAUGAGAACUGGUGUUAUACAGGAAUGUAAGCGAAGGAGAUACUUUGAGAAUCAAAAAGAUGAGAAGAAACGUCGAGGACCAUUUAUCAUCUUGAAGGAUCCGCAAAAUUUUAUUUCGGGUCGGGUUUAGUCGCGGUUCGGGUCGGCUGUGAUGAUGACCGGAAUUGUCUAUUUUACCUUUACUUUUUUUUUGUUUGAUUUUUUGUUAUAAUGUGUUUUUAAAAAAUGGCUCAAACGGCUUGUAAUUUGGAUGUCCCUGAUUCUCUCUUAAUAGUAUAGAUUUUAG